CCUCCGGGAGGCAGCUGUAGGGAUUAUUGCGCAAUGGGCGCUAGCGAGAUGCAGCCAAGCGGCGCGAGCGAAGAAGGUCUUCGGAUCGUAAAAGUGGAAGGCAAGGGAAUAACAAGUCCAGUAUUAACGGGAUGUGCAUGGACGGUACCUCAUGAGAAAGCCACGGCUAACUACGUGCCAGCAGCCGCGGUAAU
rnacentral:rRNA from 1 species